GAUGAACGCUAGCGGCAGGCUUAACACAUGCAAGUCGAGGGGUAGAGGAAGCUUGCUUCCUUGAGACCGGCGCACGGGUGCGUAACGCGUAUGCAAUCUACCUUCAACAGGGGGAUAGCCCAGAGAAAUUUGGAUUAAUACCCCAUAGUAUUUUAGUGUGGCAUCACAUUAUUAUUAAAGUUCCAACGGUUGAAGAUGAGCAUGCGUCCCAUUAGUUAGUUGGUAAGGUAACGGCUUACCAAGACGAUGAUGGGUAGGGGUCCUGAGAGGGAGAUCCCCCACACUGGUACUGAGACACGGACCAGACUCCUACGGGAGGCAGCAGUGAGGAAUAUUGGUCAAUGGGCGCAAGCCUGAACCAGCCAUGCCGCGUGCAGGAUGAAGCAUCUAUGGUGUGUAAACUGCUUUUAUACGGGAAGAAACCCUGGCUCGUGAGCCAGAUUGACGGUACCGUAAGAAUAAGGAUCGGCUAACUCCGUG
rnacentral:rRNA from 1 species